rnacentral:lncRNA from 1 species
UUCCGAAGUUGAACCUCCUUAUGAUAUUCAGAGGAAGGGCAAUAUACCAUUCUGUUAAAACUGGGCGGCAUAAAAACAAUGAAAGAAGAACUAGGCAGCAUUUUAGCGAAGAGGAGAAGACUUAGAAAGAAGAAUCGAAGGUAAAAAAAAAUUCGCCAGUAUUUCACUGCUAUUUGGACGCUGAAGAAGAAUAAGAAGAAGAAGAAGAAGGAGGAGGAAGAAAUCAUCACAUACCUGUUGCCACUGAAUCUCUGUUGAAGUUGAAAAGGGAACGCUAGUCGCUGUUGCUGCUGGUCGUGUUUUAAUAAAAGUGCAAAGAUCCCUUCUUUUUUAAUUAAAUAGGCUGGCAGCUUCACUCGCUUCGCUGCUACACCAACAGAUUCAACGACCUCUAUAUUCUUUCUCUGGUAGCUAAUUUGCGAGCAGCACCCUGAGAAAAAAUAAGAAGGCAAAGGUUUGAUGAUGUCCAAGAGAGGAAAGACAUAAAUGUACCAAAAGCUAGUAUUCUCGUGUAAUCUUCAGAUAUUUUCUGAAUAAAAUAAAAAAAAUAGAUUUUUCGACCAACUCUAUGUCUGUUCUUCUAGCUAUUUGUGAUCUUUCCAUAUCCUUUAUACAUUCUGAUAUCAGUUAGCUUGGUAUAAUUGUCUUCUUAAGGUUGAUUACUCUUUUCUACAAUAUUCAAACCUUACUAUUUCUAUUUUAAGACAAAUAAUUGUAAGAUCAUGCCCCAUUAUAUUAACAAUUUAAAUUAAUUAAAACUGCAGAGAUCAUAUAAAGGAACUCAUGAGAAUCUUGAACCAAAUGAUUCAAUUGAUAUAGACAUUAAGGAUAAAAAAAGAAGAGAACAUAAUCACUUUGUGAGGUCACUGGUCAAAGAGUGAACAUUGUUGUCGUUGGAGAUACUCCAGUAAGUUUAUAAUUCCUUAGAGGCAAUGUCAUCAAGGGAAAAUGCAUGAAAAUUUAUAUGCUUUCCAUGCUUCUGUUGGUUAUGCAGUCAUGCAAGCUAUUGAGCAAUUAUGAUUUUAUCAAUUCUUCACUGAAUAAGAAAGAAUAUGCAAUGAAGAUGAGACAAAUUAAGAAAGCAACAGGUGAAACUUAGCAAGCAAAAUAAGCUAGAAAGACAGAAUUCUGGUAAAAGAAAUCAGAGACUCGAUGUACAGAAGUGAACAAGGGGACAAUUAUUGGAUUCUUAGCUAUGAUGCAACUCUUCG